rnacentral:sRNA from 1 species
CACAGGAUCAGCCGAGGUCUCCUGUGCCUUCUGCUUUUUCAGACCAAUCCCGUUGUUUGAUUGCCCAGACCACCCCUGUAGCAGGGUCUCAGUCCCUUUCCUCUGGGGUAGUGGCAACGACCACGUCCUCUGCUGGUGAUCACAAUGGCAUGCUCUCUGUCCCUGCCCCUGGGGUGCCCCACUCUGAUGUGGGGGAGCCACCUGCCUCUACUGGGGCCCAGCAGCCUUCUGCAUUAGCCGCCCUGCAGCCAGCAAAGGAGCGGCGGAGUUCCUCCUCGUCAUCGUCGUCCUCUAGCUCCUCCUCUUCAUCAUCAUCGUCGUCGUCCUCCUCCUCCUCCUCUGGCUCCAGUUCUAGUGACUCAGAGGGCUCUAGCCUUCCUGUGCAACCUGAGGUGGCACUGAAGAGAGGACAGAACUAGAGGAAAUGGACUUAAUUUUACAGCAGGAGGGAUGGCAGUUAGACCUCAAGAGGAACUCCCUGGGCUGGAAGGAUCUUCAGAGGUCAUCCCAUCCCUCUCCCUGCCUCCAGGCAGGACGGCCCCUUCCCCAGCCAACCUGCACUCACAGGGGCCUCCCCAAGCUGCGGCUCUCCGAGGAAGGAGACUACCCAGCUUCAGCUUCCACACCUGAGCCCAGAGGCCUUAUUCCUCCAUCAGGGACAUUCUUGAGGUUUAACCUUGAUCCCUUAUGCUGCGGGCCCCAGCCUGUUGCUUCUGUUAGCAGAGGUUGGGUCAGCUCGAACCACUGCUCUCCAGAGAAUUGCUGGCUCACAUGGCUUGGAGAGCUCCCAGCGCCUUUCUCAGGCACCCCUCCCCCCACUGCCGUUCCUCCAGGCCAAGGA